rnacentral:rRNA from 1 species
GACGAACGCUGGCGGCGUGCCUAAUACAUGCAAGUUGAGCGCUGAAGGUUGGUACUUGUACCGACUGGAUGAGCAGCGAACGGGUGAGUAACGCGUGGGGAAUCUGCCUUUGAGCGGGGGACAACAUUUGGAAACGAAUGCUAAUACCGCAUAAAAACUUUAAACACAAGUUUUAAGUUUGAAAGAUGCAAUUGCAUCACUCAAAGAUGAUCCCGCGUUGUAUUAGCUAGUUGGUGAGGUAAAGGCUCACCAAGGCGAUGAUACAUAGCCGACCUGAGAGGGGGAUCGGCCACAUUGGGACUGAGACACGGCCCAAACUCCUACGGGAGGCAGCAGGAGGGAAUCUUCGGCAAUGGACGAAAGUCUGACCGAGCAACGCCGCGUGAGUGAAGAAGGUUUUCGGAUCGUAAAACUCUGUUGGUAGAGAAGAACGUUGGUGAGAGUGGAAAGCUCAUCAAGUGACGGUAACUACCCAGAAAGGGACGGCUAACUACGUG